rnacentral:tRNA from 31 species
GGGGCUGUAGCUCAGCUGGGAGAGCACCUGCUUUGCAAGCAGGGGGUCACCGGUUCGAUCCCGGUCAGCUCCACCA